AGUGAACGCUGGCGGUAGGCCUAACACAUGCAAGUCGAACGGCAGCACAGUAGGAGCUUGCUCUUACGGGUGGCGAGUGGCGGACGGGUGAGGAAUACAUCGGAAUCUACUUUUUCGUGGGGGAUAACGUAGGGAAACUUACGCUAAUACCGCAUACGACCUACGGGUGAAAGCAGGGGAUCUUCGGACCUUGCGCGAUUGAAUGAGCCGAUGUCGGAUUAGCUAGUUGGCGGGGUAAAGGCCCACCAAGGCGACGAUCCGUAGCUGGUCUGAGAGGAUGGUCGGCGACACUGGAACUGAGACACGGUCCAGACUCCUACGGGAGGCAGCAGUGGGGAAUAUUGGACAAUGGGCGCAAGCCUGAUCCAGCCAUACCGCGUGGGUGAAGAAGGCCUUCGGGUUGUAAAGCCCUUUUGUUGGGAAAGAAAAGCAGCAGGUUAAUACCCCGCUGUUCUGACGGUACCCAAAGAAUAAGCACCGGCUAACUUCGUG
rnacentral:rRNA from 1 species